ACAAGGAAAUAAAGAUGCAGCACGGCAGAUGUAGAGGUGGACUUGAGCCCAACCACAAAAAAAAAAUAAAAAAUUAUAUACUAUUUUUAACUUAGCUCAAAAACAAAAUAAUUAAUAAUAUUAGCCUACUCAAUUAGACCCAAGUCAACUCAACAACAUGCUAAAAUAAAGCCCAAAUAAGCCCGGACCGGCCCUGACCAUUUUUUAGGGCAACAAACGCCGUCAAAUAUUUUUAGGGCAAAUCAUUUCAGCAUUCGCCUCUAUCUCUCUCUGCAACUGCAAACUACAAAAUCUACAAGAAUCAGAAGUUCAAAACCCAUAUAUUUCAGUUCAGUCAGCAAGAAUCAAAAGUUGAAAACCUAUUACCUAUAUCAAAACCCAUAUCGGCAUAUUAUUUCAGAUUGUUCAAAAAAUCAAAACCCGUAUCUUUCAGUUUCCAUCGCCCGCUAUUCCAGUUCGGGUUCGCGUUCACAAGCUUCAGCCGCUGGCUCUCAACUCUCAAGCUUGCCCCCCUCUCUCUCUCUGCAACUGCUAACUUGUAUGUAUGGGUUUUGUUUUAAUUUUUUUUCUUCUAAAUCAACUAAUCAAGCUCUGUAAUUCUUGUUUUGCAAACUAAAUCCUAUUUGGUGAAAUUUUUCAUGAUCUUUUAUAUAUAUAUAUUUUAGUAACAAAAUUUGCAUUGCAUUUUUAGGUAAUACCGUAAUCUACAUUUUAUUUCAGCAAAACAAUUUUUUUUUUUUUAUUUCUUUAAAUUCUAUUUCUGCUUCUGUGUUUUUUUUUUUUUGUAGAGAUUGAAUCUGAAACAAUUUUUAUCAACAUGCCAAUCUUUUUGAAGAUGGAAAUCUUUUCAGAACUAAAAAAAAAAAAUCAUAACAAGAACUUUGACAAGCAAAAGUACUUAAUAUAGGGUAAAGAUCUAAAGUUUCUUCUUGAAAAUUAAAAUACUUACAAAAAGAAUGCUUUUGAGUGAAUUCCACAGUGUUGGAAGGGGCUUGCCAUGAAUUCCACAAUCUGGAUCCGCCCUUGGAUUCCAGAUUCCUAAUUAAUUGUUAAAUGCAUCCUAAUUUCUAGCUAUCAAAAAAAUUAUUCGUUCACUAAAUUUUCAUUUUAUGAUAUUACCACAAAUAUGGAGUGUACAAAAACUUAUUAACAAAUAUAAUGUAUAAUUAAACCUAAUUGAUUGUAGUAAGAGCCACCGAACAACAUUUUCAAUCACUAAUAUAUUUAAAUUAAUAAUUUUAAACGCAAUGACUUGUUUUCUCUCUCUACAUCAGCUUUUUUUCUCUCUAUGUUUGUUCACUCUACUAUGCAAAUAUCAACAACUUUCUCUAGCAUUAAAUUUGAUUUUUAAAAAUUCUGAAGAUAGCAGGUGGGUUUUAAGUUUUAAAUGCAGAGAGUUGGUGGAGCAUCAGACUUGUUCUAAAUGCUCAGUACUCUAACCCAUUAAUUGUUUUUCUGCUAUUUUCUUAUAUACCCACCCAGUAAUUCCAAGCACUCAUAUCUCUCUCUCACUGGUUUUCACCGGAUCACUGUCGGAGGAGGCCGUUUGAGACAGAGACCCAUCUAAAAUGGUUCCAAAAGAAAGAAAAGAGCGUGACCCUGACCCUGACCCUGUUAGGCAAGGCAAGGUGAUACAAAAUUUUCGAAUGACUAAUACGGAGAAGUUUGGAUUGGAUAGAGUCGGAAAAAAAAACCAGGGUCUGGAAAUUCCUCUCUUUCUAACUUGGAUGAAAAAAGGAAAGGUUUGGAAGAAGGUUAUGGACCAAGUCCCUUAUUUGUGUUGUUGGGCCAAAGGAGAUUCUGGAAUCUCAUCUGCAGAUUCAAAAUCCAAAGCCACAUAUGGUUGAGCUUUCAUGUCAAGAACUGAUAGACUGUCUCUACCAAAAUUGUGCAGAACCCCCCAAGAAAGGAGCUCCAAAUCCAGAUCCAAAACGAGGUGAUUCGGCAGUGAGUCAGACUAAAAAUUUUAAGGGAAGAAAGAAGAUUGCAAGUCUGAUAAUGUACAUAAAGCAGCCAUGAUCAACAGUUUGUUCAAAUAACACAUGGUGAGGAAACCAGUCUUGUCGAAGCCCUGUUGGAUGGCCCUAUAGCUGCACAGAUUGAUGUCCACAAGGAAUUUACAAAAUACAAAGAGGGAAUCUUUUCAGCGCCAAGACCCCAGUUGGUCUCAGUUACCAUGGUGUUUUGGUUUACGGAUUUGGGACUGAUAACAAUAAAGAGAAAUUCUUUCACAUAAAGAACAGCUGGGGUGAGGGAAGGGCACCGCAAAAGUGAGAGGAAAUGUCAUCGGUAACAGUUACUAUCCCAUCAUGAAGGAUAAUUAGAGCGCAACAUGGUUGAUAUGUAGGAAUCAAAAAGUUGAUAGAAAUUAGAAUUAACCUUUACUCAUUGUUACAUCACAGAUGGGAAUUUUUUUCUAUUCAAGAGUGAUUUUGGGGGGGUUUAAUGUGAGCUACUAUGUUGUAUUGGGCUAUGUUUUAGAAGUUACAAUGUUAAUGUUGCUGCUCACUGUUCAAAAUUUGCUUUGGCAGUAGGGCUGUAACUUGGGCGGGCUAACCCAGCCCAACCCAAGAAUUUGAAAUUUGGACUUUAAGUUUACAAAUUGGGUUCAUGUUCGGGUUGAGUUUUGUCAAAAUCCAGACAUAUUCGGGUUGGGCUCGGGUUCAACCCGAACCCAACCCAAAACCCAAAAAUAAAAAUAAAAUAAUUUUUUUUUUUCUUUUUUUUCCUCCGUUCUCCCCCCCCCCCCCCCCCCCUCUCUCUCUCUCUCUCUCUCUUCUUUCUCUCCCUCUUUCUCUUUCUCUUUCUCUGUGUACCGUCCCCAUACAUACAAGGUAGCAGUUGCAGAGAGAGACAACGGUUGAAGCUUGCGAACAGCGAACGGCGAACUGGAACAGCGAGUGAUGAAAACUAAAAGAUCUGGGUUUUGAUUUUUUGAACGAUCUAAAAUGGUCGAGAGUUGAGAGACAGCGGUUGAAGCUUUGCCGACGGCAAACGGCGAACCCGAUCUGGAACAGCGGGCGAUGGACAUCUGAAAGAUCUGGUUUUUGAUUUUUUGAACAAUCUGAAAUGAUAUGCCGAUAUGGGUUUUGAACUUUUGAUUGUUGCAGUUAGAUGAAAUUGAAAUAUAUGAGCUUUGAAGUUUUUGUA